GAAGUCUGACGGAGCAACGCCGCGUGAGUGAUGAAGGUUUUCGGAUCGUAAAGCUCUGUUGUUAGGGAAGAACAAGUGCGAGAGUAACUGCUCGCACCUUGACGGUACCUAACCAGAAAGCCACGGCUAACUACGUGCCAGCAGCCGCGGUAAUACA
rnacentral:rRNA from 1 species